AUUGAACGCUGGCGGCAGGCCUAACACAUGCAAGUCGAACGGUAACAGGAAGACGCUUGCUUCUUUGCUGACGAGUGGCGGACGGGUGAGUAAUGUCUGGGAAACUGCCUGAUGGAGGGGGAUAACUACUGGAAACGGUAGCUAAUACCGCAUAACGUCGCAAGACCAAAGAGGGGGACCUUCGGGCCUCUUGCCAUCGGAUGUGCCCAGAUGGGAUUAGCUAGUAGGUGGGGUAACGGCUCACCUAGGCGACGAUCCCUAGCUGGUCUGAGAGGAUGACCAGCCACACGGGAACUGAGACACGGUCCAGACGCCUACGGGAGGCAGCAGUGGGGAAUAUUGCACAAUGGGCGCAAGCCUGAUGCAGCCAUGCCGCGUGUAUGAAGAAGGCCUUCGGGUUGUAAAGUACUUUCAGCGGGGAGGAAGGGAGUAAAGUUAAUACCUUUGCUCAUUGACGUUACCCGCAGAAGAAGCACCGGCUAACUCCGUG
rnacentral:rRNA from 1 species